CGGGUGAGUAAGAUUUGGGAAACUACCUGAUAGAGGGGGACAACAGUUGGAAACGACUGCUAAUACCGCAUACAGCCUUAGGGUGAAAGAAGAAAUUCGCUAUCAGAUGUGCCCAAACGGGAUUAGCUAGUAGGUGAGGUAAAGGCUCACCUAGGCGACGAUCUCUAGCUGGUCUGAGAGGAUGAUCAGCCACAUUGGGACUGAGACACGGCCCAGACUCCUACGGGAGGCAGCAGUAGGGAAUAUUGCACAAUGGAGGAAACUCUGAUGCAGCCAUGCCGCGUGUGUGAAGAAGGCCUUCGGGUUGUAAAGCACUUUCGGAGGGGAGGAAGUAAAUGACGUUACCCUCAGAAGAAGCACCGGCUAACUCCGUGCCAGCA
rnacentral:rRNA from 1 species